rnacentral:rRNA from 1 species
UACGAAGGGGGGCUAGCGUUGCUCGGAAUCACUGGGCGUAAAGGGUGCGUAGGCGGGUCUUUAAGUCAGGGGUGAAAUCCUGGGGCUCAACCCUGGAACUGCAUUGAAUACUGGGAGGCUAGAGUACUGGAGAGGAAACUGGAAUUUACGGUGUAGCAGUGAAAUGCGUAGAGAUCGUAAGGAAGACCAGUGGCGAAGGCGAGUUUCUGGACAGUUACUGACGCUGAGGCACGAAGGCCAGGGGAGCAAACGGG